AUUGAACGCUGGCGGCAUGCCUUACACAUGCAAGUCGAACGGUAACAGGUCUUCGGAUGCUGACGAGUGGCGAACGGGUGAGUAAUACAUCGGAACGUGCCUAGUAGUGGGGGAUAACUACUCGAAAGAGUGGCUAAUACCGCAUGAGAUCUACGGAUGAAAGCAGGGGAUCGCAAGACCUUGUGCUACUAGAGCGGCCGAUGGCAGAUUAGGUAGUUGGUGGGAUAAAAGCUUGCCAAGCCGACGAUCUGUAGCUGGUCUGAGAGGACGAUCAGCCACACUGGGACUGAGACACGGCCCAGACUCCUACGGGAGGCAGCAGUGGGGAAUUUUGGACAAUGGGCGCAAGCCUGAUCCAGCAAUGCCGCGUGCAGGAUGAAGGCCUUCGGGUUGUAAACUGCUUUUGUACGGAACGAAAAGCCCUGGGUUAAUACCCUGGGGUCAUGACGGUACCGUAAGAAUAAGCACCGGCUAACUACGCGCCAGCCGCCGCCGUAAAAC
rnacentral:rRNA from 1 species